AUUUAAAUAAUUUAAUUUAAAAUAUUGAUUUGUGGGGUCAAUUAUACUUUAAGAAAGUUUUAAAUU
rnacentral:tRNA from 1 species